GAACCCCCGCCGAGACUCUUAAGCAGCACCUCAGACUCUGAGUCCUCUUUCUACCUCUGGCGCCGUCUCCGCGAUUUCCACUCUUUCCCUACUCUUCCUCCUCCUCUUCCUCGUUCUUCUUCUUCUUAUUUGUCCUCCUUUUUCUCGUACUUCGCAUUGUUGCCGCUGUAUGAGCGCCAGCGCUCGUGGUGUACGCCUCGGUUGACGCUCGGUGCGGCCCUGGCUGCUGUUAUCUCGCUCCAUCUUCAGUGCUAAGGCGGCCUGCCACUGCCAUUGACCAUGUCAGACCCUAUUCAAGACUCUUCUGCGGACCAUGACUGGGAACAUGAGGACAAAAUACUGGAACCUCCAAAAUUUAAAAUUUCAGGGCUUAAUGCGGCGAGCGCCGAAUUUCUUCCUAAGCUCAAUCCAGUCGCUGCCGAAUUCGUUCCUAGGAAGUUUUUAAACGUUCAAGCUCCACCACCAGUUCAGGCUUCACAACCGGAGAUUAAGCAGGCAGAACCUGAGCUUGUAGCAGAUGAGCUUGACGAAAAACUUAACUUAAAAGAUGAGGAAAAACAAACAGAGGCGAUCGUGGACGAAACAAAGGCAGCGUCACCUGCAACUUCUAAACCCGAACCGAAGCCCGUCGAGGAGACUCCUCCUCCGGCUCCUGCUCCAGAAGAAGAGGAACCAGAGCCUGAUACAGGGGAUUCUCGGCAGCACCUGAAUGUAGUAUUCAUCGGACACGUUGAUGCUGGUAAAUCAACAAUAGGAGGUCAGAUACUCUUUUUGAGCAAUAUGGUGGAUGAGCGUACUAUUCAAAAGUAUGAGCGAGAGGCCAAAGACAAGAACAGGGAGAGUUGGUACAUGGCUUACAUCAUGGAUACCAACGAAGAAGAGAGAUCCAAGGGAAUUACUGUCGAAGUUGGAAGAGCCCAUUUUGAAACCGAAAAGACUCGGUUCACAAUUUUAGAUGCACCUGGCCACAAAAACUACGUUCCUAAUAUGAUCAGUGGAGCAUCCCAGGCUGAUGUUGGAGUGCUGGUAAUUUCAGCUCGAAAAGGGGAAUUCGAAACUGGAUUUGAGAGAGGAGGUCAAACCCGGGAGCAUGCACAGCUUGCCAAGACCUUGGGUGUCUCCAAGUUACUGGUUGUCGUAAACAAGAUGGACGAUCCAUCUGUUGAGUGGUCUAGAGACAGGUUUGAUGAGAUUGAGAAGAAGAUCAUUCCUUUCUUGAAGUCAUGCGGUUACAAUACGAAGAAAGAUGUACAAUUUUUGCCAAUAUCCGGGCUCUACGGGCACAACAUGAAAGAGAAAAUGCCAAAGGACGUGUGUUCAUGGUGGGACGGACCUUGUCUUUUUGAUGUUUUGGAUGGCAUAGAGCUUCCAUUGCGAGAUCCAAAGGGUCCUUUUAGGAUGCCUUUAAUAGAUAAGUACCGGGAUAUGGGUACCGUCGUGAUGGGCAAGAUAGAGUCAGGGAGUGUGCGACGGGGAGAAACUUUGAUGGUCAUGCCUAACAAGGCUCAGGUAAAGGUUAUUACAGUGUAUCGGGAUAACGAUGAAGUAAACUACGCCAAGCCCGGCGAAAAUCUACGAAUCAGGUUAUCCGGUAUCGAAGAAGAAGACAUUAUUGCAGGAUUUGUUCUGUCAUCCGUAAGUAAGCUUAUUCCCGCAGUUUUGGAAUUCGAUGCUCAACUUCAAAUUCUGGGGCUUCUCGAUCACAAGGCUAUAUUUACUGCUGGUUACAAAGCUGUGCUUCAUAUACACUCUGUCGUCGAGGAAUGUGAAAUUAUGACACUCAUUCACCAGAUAGAUCCCAAAACAAAGAAGCCUAUGAAGAAGAAGGUGUUGUUUGUGAAAAGUGGUGCCGUUGUAGUGGUUCGCAUCCAGGUUAACCAGCUCAUUUGUGUUGAGAAGUUUGACGAUUUUCCUCAGCUUGGACGAUUUACGUUACGAGACGAGGGUAAAACUGUAGCGAUUGGCAAGGUUGUUAAGUUCCCCAAGCUCGAAAACAGUAGCCAGAACUGACGCCAGCAUCAUUAAUGUGCAUCACCAACAAAUUGAGGACUCUGCUUUCAUUGGAAUCUUCAUGAUUGAGGUGAUUUUGGAUAAGAAUUUAUCAAAAUUUCGAAUGACUGUUUUGGUGUCCUAAGAGCCUUGUCUAUUUCUCAAAUAUCAACUUCGAGUUGUACUUGAGGUGUUCGUCCCUAACCCCCUAAACAGCAUAACCAUCUUAGAAUAUUCAUUUUCUGUGAAGUAUGUUGGGCAGGAAAUACACGGGAAAUCCAUGUUUCUGAAUGGAUGCUUUUUUUUGGUCACUGUGGCAACUAAGAAUUGGUCAGUGGAGAAAAUAAAUGUUAGAAUUUUCAGGUAUUGAUACAGGAGUAUCUGAUUCUCUGACAGAAUUUAUGCCGGCAAUUCGUUUUGAUAAAUAGAAAUAUGUGAGUCGCCUAUUGUGCUUGUUUUUACUGCGUGUUUAGGAACAGGAGUUUCGCCUCGAGUAUCCACGUGUACUUGGAAAUAGUAGGUCUUGCAUAAGUCCGUUUGUAUGCGGGGCCUACUGUCAGUAUAGUCGACAACACUUCGUGCUCUUUGAGGCAAACUAUGGUGCUGAGGUCUUGCAUCAGUUACCGUGAUCGUAAAAUUACUGUCUGGAAGGUCUCGUACCUCCCAUGUAAUUGAAAUUGUGACUGAGAUUAUGACCCGCGUAUUCACCUUCGUGUGAAGCAUAAUUGAUGUUCGCAUCCCGAAAUAACAUCAACUUGUUAUUCAA